CCUGUCAUCCCGUCCCAAGGAGAGGUGCUCCCCCAGCUGAUUCCAAGGCGGCGCCCAGCUGCUCUGCCCAGAUGAAAAUUGGAAGAAGAAGAAGAAGAAGGAGAAGGAGAAGAAGGAGAGAAAGGAAAGUGGAAAAAACACUCAAACGCUCAAACAUAGAUAUGUAACUUGUCAGAUGUCAUCCCGCUUGUAAUUAAAGAUGCUGGGAUUUGAACUUAGUCAGUCUGACCCCACAGAUCAGAUACUUUCUCCCAGGAUGCAUUUCCACUAUGAUAUUCAGUACAAAGUGGUUGUUCAAUAAAUAUUGUUCAAAUGUUAGUUGGGGAAAACAAAAGAGAAGCUGCUGAGGAAGAACUGGCCUCUCCAAAG
rnacentral:lncRNA from 1 species